GAUGAACGCUGGCGGCGUGCCUAAUACAUGCAAGUCGAGCGAACAGAUGAGGAGCUUGCUCCUCUGACGUUAGCGGCGGACGGGUGAGUAACACGUGGAUAACCUACCUAUAAGACUGGGAUAACUUCGGGAAACCGGAGCUAAUACCGGAUAAUAUAUUGAACCGCAUGGUUCAAUAGUGAAAGACGGUUUUGCUGUCACUUAUAGAUGGAUCCGCGCCGCAUUAGCUAGUUGGUAAGGUAACGGCUUACCAAGGCAACGAUGCGUAGCCGACCUGAGAGGGUGAUCGGACACAAUGGAACUGAGACACGGUCAAGACUCCUACGGGAGGCAGCAGUAGGGAAUCUUCCGCAAUGGGCGAAAGCCUGACGGAGCAACGCCGCGUGAGUGAUGAAGGUCUUCGGAUCGUAAAACUCUGUUAUUAGGGAAGAACAAAUGUGUAAGUAACUAUGCACGUCUUGACGGUACCUAAUCAGAAAGCCACGGCUAACUACGUG
rnacentral:rRNA from 1 species